rnacentral:rRNA from 1 species
AUUGAACGCUGGCGGCAGGCCUAACACAUGCAAGUCGAGCGGUAGCACAGAGAGCUUGCUCUCGGGUGACGAGCGGCGGACGGGUGAGUAAUGUCUGGGAAACUGCCUGAUGGAGGGGGAUAACUACUGGAAACGGUAGCUAAUACCGCAUAAUGUCGCAAGACCAAAGUGGGGGACCUUCGGGCCUCAUGCCAUCAGAUGUGCCCAGAUGGGAUUAGCUAGUAGGUGGGGUAACGGCUCACCUAGGCGACGAUCCCUAGCUGGUCUGAGAGGAUGACCAGCCACACUGGAACUGAGACACGGUCCAGACUCCUACGGGAGGCAGCAGUGGGGAAUAUUGCACAAUGGGCGCAAGCCUGAUGCAGCCAUGCCGCGUGUGUGAAGAAGGCCUUCGGGUUGUAAAGCACUUUCAGCGGGGAGGAAGGCGGUGAGGUUAAUAACCUCACCGAUUGACGUUACCCGCAGAAGAAGCACCGGCUAACUCCGUGCCAGCAGCCGCGGUAAUACGGAGGGUGCGAGCGUUAAUCGGAAUUACUGGGCGUAAAGCGCACGCAGGCGGUCUGUCAAGUCGGAUGUGAAAUCCCCGGGCUCAACCUGGGAACUGCAUUCGAAACUGGCAGGCUAGAGUCUUGUAGAGGGGGGUAGAAUUCCAGGUGUAGCGGUGAAAUGCGUAGAGAUCUGGAGGAAUACCGGUGGCGAAGGCGGCCCCCUGGACAAAGACUGACGCUCAGGUGCGAAAGCGUGGGGAGCAAACAGGAUUAGAUACCCUGGUAGUCCACGCCGUAAACGAUGUCGAUUUGGAGGUUGUGCCCUUGAGGCGUGGCUUCCGGAGCUAACGCGUUAAAUCGACCGCCUGGGGAGUACGGCCGCAAGGUUAAAACUCAAAUGAAUUGACGGGGGCCCGCACAAGCGGUGGAGCAUGUGGUUUAAUUCGAUGCAACGCGAAGAACCUUACCUGGUCUUGACAUCCACAGAACUUUCCAGAGAUGGAUUGGUGCCUUCGGGAACUGUGAGACAGGUGCUGCAUGGCUGUCGUCAGCUCGUGUUGUGAAAUGUUGGGUUAAGUCCCGCAACGAGCGCAACCCUUAUCCUUUGUUGCCAGCGGUUCGGCCGGGAACUCAAAGGAGACUGCCAGUGAUAAACUGGAGGAAGGUGGGGAUGACGUCAAGUCAUCAUGGCCCUUACGACCAGGGCUACACACGUGCUACAAUGGCAUAUACAAAGAGAAGCGACCUCGCGAGAGCAAGCGGACCUCAUAAAGUAUGUCGUAGUCCGGAUUGGAGUCUGCAACUCGACUCCAUGAAGUCGGAAUCGCUAGUAAUCGUAGAUCAGAAUGCUACGGUGAAUACGUUCCCGGGCCUUGUACACACCGCCCGUCACACCAUGGGAGUGGGUUGCAAAAGAAGUAGGUAGCUUAACCUUCGGGAGGGCGCUUACCACUUUGUGAUUCAUGACUGGGGUG